GACGAACGCUGGCGGCGUGCUUAACACAUGCAAGUCGAACGAUGAACCCGGAGCUUGCUCCGGUGGAUUAGUGGCGAACGGGUGAGUAACACGUGAGUAACCUGCCCUUGACUCUGGGAUAACUGCGGGAAACUGUAGCUAAUACCGGAUACGACCCUCGGAGGCAUCGCCAGGGGGUGGAAAGAAUUUCGGUCAAGGAUGGACUCGCGGCCUCUCAGCUAGUUGGUGAGGUAACGGCUCACCAAGGCGACGAUGCGUAGCCGACCUGAGAGGGUGAUCGGCCACACUGGGACUGAGACACGGCCCAGACUCCUACGGGAGGCAGCAGUAGGGAAUCUUCGGCAAUGGGCGAAAGCCUGACCGAGCAACGCCGCGUGAGCGAUGAAGGCCUUCGGGUCGUAAAGCUCUGUUGUUAGAGAAGAACAAGUACGAGAGUAACUGCUCGUACCUUGACGGUACCUAACCAGAAAGCCACGGCUAACUACGUGCCAGCAGCCGCCGUAAUAC
rnacentral:rRNA from 1 species